rnacentral:rRNA from 1 species
CCUACGGGUGGCAGCAGUGAGGAAUAUUGGUCAAUGGCCGGAAGGCUGAACCAGCCAAGCCGCGUGAAGGACGAAGGUGCCAAGCAUUGUAAACUUCUUUUGUCAAGGGACAAAAUCAGGCUCGCGAGCCGGACCGAGGGUACUUGAAGAAAAAGAAUCGGCUAACUCCGUGCCAGCAGCCGCGGUAAUACGGAGGAUGCGAGCGUUAUCCGGAUUUAGUGGGUUUAAAGGGUGCGUAGGCGGACUGGUAAGUCAGCGUCAAAAGCCCGGGGCUCAACCCCGGCGAGCCGUUGAAACUGGCUGUCUGGAGAUGUCGAGAGGUAGGCGGAAUGCGCAGUGUAGCGGUGAAAUGCUUAGAUAUUGCGCAGAACUCCGAUUGCGAAGGCAGCAUACCGGCGGCGAUCUGACGCUGAGGCACGAAAGCGUGGGUAUCGAACAGGAUUAGAUACCCGGGUAGUC